ACCUGAGGUUGCUGCUGUGUGACUAAGGACCAGGUAAUAUUUACAGCGUGGCUAUACAGGACAAAGGGUGGUCACAGCCUAGCUGGGGCAGAGCUGGAUGGCGUGAGACUUCGUGACGCGACUCAGAUUGGCAUUUGAUUUAAACUUCACAGAUCAUUUAUCUCUGGAAUUUUCCAUUUCAAAUUUUCAGAACGAGGCUGACCUUGAAUAACUGAAGCCACAGAAAGGGGUACCACGGACAAGGGACGACUACCAAAUAAUUAUCUAAGACUUCUGAGUCAUCAACAAAAGUUAAGUUUUGGCCAUGCUGUUGUGUGAAUAAGGUGGGGAAAAUGAUGAGAAACUUGGAGAAAUUUAUAUUCAAAGCAGUAUAUUUGGGUCAUUUCCCCUUCCAUCACCAGUCUGUGCCCUGUAAUAUAUUCUGUCUGUAGUUUUUGAACUUGUCUGCAGGAUGAUAGAACUAAACAAGCAAACAUCUCAACUUGGGUGUCACCCUUUGGAUUAUAGCUGCUGUUUCCUUCUCCACAGGGAUAUAGAAUUAAACCCCGCUCAGUGGCCCUGUUUAGGCUCAGAUUACGACGGCCCUGGAACAAUGAAGAUUAUCAAGAUGAAUGGAGAGGAGCCCGCCACCCUCCUUAUUCAUCACAGAGUCGUUCAGCCCUGUUAUCGCUCAUGCUGAGAGAUUUAUUGGUAAUUAUUGCAGCAGGUACGCUGUCUUGAAGAGAGCAAAAAUGUUCAGGAAUUGAGGUGCUUCGGACCCAGAGAGAAGUAAAGUAUGGGUGAUCCUGAAUUUAUGGAAGAAAUUCGGAAGAUCUAUAUGAAUUUGAAAAGCAGUGCUCAGUAUGUGUGGACUACAUGUGUCCAAGGAGAGCUGCACUAUUUAUUUCAUGUUUCAUGCACGGGACAGUGUACUGUGGUGCUGGGGACAUAUGUUUGUAUAUCUUAAGAAAAUGUGUCAGGCUUGUUUUUUUUUUUCCAAACUAAUAAACCUAGGGCAUGUGCACACACAUCACACAUAUCUGCUGCUUUCUAAGCAAAUUUGAUUUUCAUUUCUGCAGUCAAUCCAAAGAUUUGGAGGGGGGGAAAUGAACAUGAAGACUUUUGAGUUUCAGGAGAGGUCAUUACUGUUGUUUUGCAGUUUGAACCCUGGUGGCAGAGCACUGAGAAAGGAGCAGAGGAGCACUUGCUGAUGAAGAUGAGAAGGUGACAGGUGUCAGGCUCAGCAUCAAGAUAUGGAGCGCCCAUCUCCAGACCUAUUUUUAUAACACACCUGCAGAGACGGGGACUGUAUUCCUGGCCCA
rnacentral:lncRNA from 1 species